GGCAAAUCCCGGGGGCCAAAAGCGUGUCUGGACUUUUGAGUUUGAAGGAUCAAGGGCCAAUUCUCACAACCAAACUAAUGUCCUAAGAAGACUUUGGAAACCAUGUUCUUCCGCCCACCCUCCAAAAGAACACCCACUGUAGGAAUGCACGUGGGUCCUCUUGAAAGUUGGAGAUGUUUUAACCAGGGAAGUGCACCUUCAAUCACAUUGAUGUGCCGUCUACUGGCAGGCUUUUGAACUGGUGAAGUGAGCAUUGAUUUAUCUGCAGCUCCACGCUUCACUUCCAGAAUGGGUGAAGAUACACAAUGUGUUGCGAGAGCAAUGAGGAAAGAGAGUAGACAGAAUGGGUGAAGCAAUGAGGACUUGACGAGAUUUUUUUUAGGAUCUUUUCCCAUUAAUGCCCAAGUGCUGGUCGUAGCAAGGAAAAGGUCUGGGAGCGUAAGCUACAAAUGCACGGUGGUUAGAUCAGAUCUCACAGCCAUUAACUGUGAGGUCACAACUGUGCACGAGGUCAUGCUGGGAAAUGUUUGCAUCCAAUAAAUGUCGCUGCCA